rnacentral:rRNA from 1 species
UACGUAGGGCGCAAGCGUUGUCCGGAAUUAUUGGGCGUAAAGAGCGUGUAGGCGGCUUGUUAAGUCUUGCGUGAAAUCUCGGGGCUCAACCCCGAGCGGUCGUGAGAAACUGGCAGGCUAGAGUGCGGGAGAGGAGAGUGGAAUUCCUGGUGUAGCGGUGAAAUGCGCAGAUAUCAGGAAGAACACCCGUGGCGAAGGCGGCUCUCUGGAACGCAACUGACGCUGAGACGCGAAGGCGUGGGGAGCAAACAGG